rnacentral:rRNA from 1 species
GACGAACGCUGGCGGCGUGCUUAACACAUGCAAGUCGAACGGAAAGGCCCUGUCUUUUUGGGGUGCUCGAGUUGCGAACGGGUGAGUAACACGUGAGUAACCUGCCCCUGACCUUGGGAUAUCCUCAGGAAACUGGGGCUAAUACCGGAUAGGAGCUCCUGCUGCAUGGUGGGGGCUGGAAAGUUUCGGCGGUUGGUGAUGGACUCGCGGCUUAUCAGCUUGUUGGUGGGGUAGUGGCUUAGCAAGGCCUUGACGGGUAGCCGGCCUGCGAGGGUGACCGGCCACAUUGGGACUGGGCUACGGCCCGGACUCCUACGGGAGGCAGCAGUGGGGAAUGUUGCACAAUGGGCGGAGGCCUGAUGCAACACCGCCGCGUGCGGGAUGACGGCCUUCGGGUUGUAUACCGCUUUCGCCUGUGACGAAGCGUGAGUGACGGUAAUGGGUAAAGAAGCACCGGCUAACUACGUG